UACGUAGGUGGCGAGCGUUGUCCGGAUUUACUGGGCGUAAAGGGCUUGUAGGCGGUUCGUUAAGUCUGGUGUGAAAUCUCCCGGCUCAACUGGGAGGAGCCAUCGGAAACUGGCGAGCUAGAGGUGGGCAGAGGAAAGCGGAAUUCCCGGUGUAGCGGUGAAAUGCGCAGAUAUCAGGAGGAACACCAGUGGCGAAGGCGGUUCUCUGGGCAUUACCUGACGCUGAGGAGCGAAAGUGUGGGGAGCGAACAGG
rnacentral:rRNA from 1 species